AACUGUUGCCUCGGCGGGAUCUCGGCCCCGGGUGGGUCGCAGCCCCGGACCAAGGCGCCCGCCGGAGGACCAACCAAAACUCCUUUUGUAUACCCCCUCGCGGGUUUUUUUUAUAAUAUGAGCCUUCUCGGCGCCUCUCGUAGGCGUUUCGAAAAUGAAUCAAAACUUUCAACAACGGAUCUCUUGGUUCUGGCAUCGAUGAAGAACGCAGCGAAAUGCGAUAAGUAAUGUGAAUUGCAGAAUUCAGUGAAUCAUCGAAUCUUUGAACGCACAUUGCGCCCGCCAGUAUUCUGGCGGGCAUGCCUGUCCGAGCGUCAUUUCAACCCUCGAACCCCUCGGGGGGGUCGGCGUUGGGGAUCGGCCCUGCCUCUUGGCUUGGUGGCCGUCUCCGAAAUACAGUGGCGGUCUNGCCGCAGCCUCUCCUGCGCAGUAGUUUGCACACUCGCAUCGGGAGAGCGGCGCGUCCACAGCCGUUAAACACCCAACUUCUGAAAUGUUGACCUCGGAUCAGGUAGGAAUACCCGCUGAACUUAAGCAUAUCAAUAACCGGAGGAAC
rnacentral:rRNA from 1 species